rnacentral:rRNA from 1 species
UAGAGUUUGAUCCUGGCUCAGGACGAACGCUGGCGGCGUGCUUAACACAUGCAAGUCGAACGGAAAGGCCCUGCUUUUGUGGGGUGCUCGAGUGGCGAACGGGUGAGUAACACGUGAGUAACCUGCCCUUGACUUUGGGAUAACUUCAGGAAACUGGGGCUAAUACCGGAUAGGAGCUCCUGCUGCAUGGUGGGGGUUGGAAAGUUUCGGCGGUUGGGGAUGGACUCGCGGCUUAUCAGCUUGUUGGUGGGGUAGUGGCUUACCAAGGCUUUGACGGGUAGCCGGCCUGAGAGGGUGACCGGCCACAUUGGGACUGAGAUACGGACCAGACUCCUACGGGAGGCAGCAGUGGGGAAUAUUGCACAAUGGGCGGAAGCCUGAUGCAGCAACGCCCGCGUGCCGGGAUGACGGCCUUCGGGUUGUAAACCCGCUUUCGCCUUGUGACGAAACCGUGAGGUGACGGUAAAUGGGGUAAAAGAAGCACCCGGCUAACUACGUGCC